rnacentral:rRNA from 1 species
CAGUCGCCGCGGUAAUACAGAGGAUGCAAGCGUUAUCCGGAAUGAUUGGGCGUAAAGCGUCUGUAGGUGGCUCUUCAAGUCCGCCGUCAAAUCCCAGGGCUCAACCGGGGAACGGGCGCCGAUACGGGCGGUCUCGAGGGGGGUAGGGGGGACUGGAACUUCCGGUGGAGCGGUGAAAUGCGUUGAGAUCGGAAGGAACGCCCGUGGCGAAAGCGAGUCCCUGGACCCUUUCUGACGCUGAGACGCGAAAGCCGGGGGAGCGAACGGGAUUAGAUACCCCGGUAGUCCCUGUCUCUUAUAC